AGCUCAAAGACUGAAGAAAAAGAACUCCUAGAAUACCCCUUUAACCAUCCCAGGCUUAAGGAAGCCUAGGAAACCAAUGCUGAGCAUGUUUGACCUGGCAUUCCGUGCUUCCUGAUAGGCUAAACGUCCCCACUUGCAGCAAGGCUUGUAGCAGUAGCAAACAAGGGAUGCCUCCAACGACACAACAGCUGUGAGCCACUGAUGCAGCUGGAGUGAGGCCAGAAUUAAAUGUGUACAUGUAGCUGAACAAAGAGCAACAACAUCCAUCGUGUACCUGCAUUGUAAUCUGGUAACCUUUGAAAUCCUGCAGACGCUUCUUCUUCUCCUCCUCUUGUCCCAUGCUCACCCACGUGUCUGUAACCAACACAUUAGCUCCACUGGCAGCUUGGAGCGGAUCGUUUGUCAUAAACAGCUUGGUUCCAGACUGCGAGACAGGAAAAUGUGCAGAUAUCAGGGAUUUUUCAUGGCUACAGAUUAACAUAACAAUAACUCUGUAGGGAACAGACAACAUGAAAGAGACCUUGCUGUGUCCUUCAGGCUUUCAUUGACUCCCAAAUGAAUAUCCUGCGUGGUGAGAAAACAAGGAUGUCCUCCAAGUAAAGCAAAUCCUAUAAGUAUAUUAUAGAAAUGUAAAAUUAUAUUUUUAAGACUGGAAAAUUAUGUGGCACAAAAAAACGUCUUAAGUUUAGCAGCUAUGAGGCCAUUUAUCUCAUAAUUUCCUAAAAAAAAGGGAAAAAAUUGCAUCAUCCUUUCCAUCUAGAGAUACAUGUUAUUGUGAACAUAAUCUAUGAAGUGUUAGGGAAUGUUUAUUGGAAAGAUGUGGAAUAUCUCCUAUUAAAAAGAUCUG